CAAAACAUAGCUUAACUAAAGCAUCUCGCCUACACCGAGAAAAUAUCUGUUAAACUCAGGUCGUUUUGA
rnacentral:tRNA from 1 species